UCAGCAUACUGCCUGGCUUAUCCUAAGCAGUCAGAAGACAUUAACUGUUACCAGUAGCUGUAAUGACUAAUGUUGCUUAGGUUGAGUAGCAUUUAUAGGAUGUGUACCACAAACAACCCUCUUCAAGACCCAAUGAGGAAUAUGAGACUGUAGGUACCCUAGGAAGAAGACAGAAGAACAUCAACUCACUGUGGUACUGAGGACCAACAAAAGCCUCACUCCAUCCACCUGGAUCCUAACGACAACUUCUGGUGGCCCACCUUGAACAUCCUGGCCUACACUUGCCUUUAGUGUGUUCCCUGAGCCUUAGGUGAAGAGUGUCUUCUAAAUGGAUCCAGUGGAACUGGGCUUCACAACCCUGCAUUUUGAUUGGUUGAUUGUUUCUGUAGUGGUCUCCUUCUGUGACAAAGAGAAAUUUCCUUGAGCGGUGAGAACUACGGUCACAUCCGGAGAACACAACUGCUCAAAUGUGAGCCAAACAAGGACCACACCAAGGGAAUGUCAGACUGGCAGGAGAAAAGCCCAUGAGGCCUCAACCCUCCACAAAGAACUCCAGACCACCGAGCAAAGCUGCGAGCAGAGGUGGCCGUCUCUAGGGAAGAGCACCUCAAUUGGUUGUCCGGUGCCAAAUAGUCAGCCCUGAAAAGCUGCAUACAAGUAACAUUAUACAGACCGAAUAGGUUAUAUUAAGGAAUUCAUGUGCAUAAACAGAUACACAUAUGUAUACACAUACACAUGCAAGAGCAAUUCCUAAAAAAAGGGGCCAUGAAUUUGAAGGCAAACUGGGAGGGGUGUUUGAAACAGGUUUGAAGGGAGGAAAGAAGGGAGAAAUGCUGUAACUAAAUUAUAACCUAAAAAACUCCUAAACUAAACUAAAGCUUUUCCUGCUUGUUUCAUUUUGUUUAUUUGUGUUUACUUUUUGCUGCAGAGUCUGACCUGGAACUUACUGUCUGAGUCCAGGCUGGCCUUAAAUCGAAGGUGAUCUUCCUGGCUGUGCCCUGUGAGCACCAGGAUUACAGACACGACCUACGACACUCAGUGUCCUGAUGUUGCAAUGUGCCAGUGUUAGGGAGUUUCUGAUGCUCUGAUUUCUUCACUCAUUCAAGACAAAUUUCCCCUUCCAUAUCUGUUCUGACAUCCGUGUUUUAAAACUGUCCGUUUUAAGAGUGUACUAUAAACUCAAGCAUGAGACCCCACAAACCUGGAUUUGACCCUGUGCCGUAGUACAAAAGGCUGUGUCCACCAUCGUUGUGCUAUCCUGAUGCCCUGGCCAGAGUGCAAGAUGAUGAUAUUAACUGAAAAUGGGCUUUAUUCAGAUACGGAGACAGUCCCUUAGUGAGAGAGCAACCAUCCUUUGUGUUCCUCACCCAGGUACCUGUUACACAAAGAAGAGCAUCUUGAUUUGAGUCCUCCACACAUUCUCACUCCACUCAGAGCUACUUUUGGCUUCUGAAAUACACAGAAAAUGAUCAGUUGAAAACAGAGGGGAAUAACCCAUAAAGUCAAUAGCUAAUCAGCCACAUUUAAAUAUCGAAGGGAGGAGAAUAAUGUCCUCAAAGGUGUCAUUAGACACUCAUGGGAGGAUCAUUUGGUCCCAUUUGGACGUUUUCUGUCUCUAUUCAAGCAAUACAGUUUCUGCAAGAGUGUGUGUGUACAUGUGCAUGCAGUUCUGCCUGCAUGGGUACAGUUCAGCCCGCAGAAGAAUUUGCUCCCAACUGUCGCUCAGCCUUCACUUUGGGUUCUGGUUGCUAAGUCUCCAGCAAGUCUGAUGAGUACCAGACAUCCAGAGUUUCUGUCACCCAGAGCUUGAAGAUGGCUUUUGGAUUUAGAUGGCCUUUAGCAUUCCCAGGAUGACAGAGCUCUCCUGGAGUCUUCAGUGUACAAUGACUGGAAGAUGAAAUAUCAUGGUUCAAAUGUAAAGAAGAUAAAGAUGGUAAUGGCAUCAGGGAUUCCAUGUCACCCACAAAACACAGACUAGGAUUUGACCAUCGAUCUUGUUCUUGAGAUUGACAUGGGUUGGUUGAUCCUGGGCAGUUUGCCUUCCCUGGUUGAUGGCAGCACUAACAGGUAAGUUGGGGAAAGACAUCACUUUUUUGACCACUUGCUUCUUGGUGUAGUGAAAUAGCUGAGUUAUUAGUUUUGUGCAGCUUCCCUGAGUCAGGGUAAGAUGAAGGAAGUAAGUGUAUGAAAGGAAAUGUGAGAAUGUUUACAGGAAAGAUCACAGUUAACUACAGUUUUGAGGGGGAAAAAUGCUUCCUUGGAAGGGCCCUAGUAAAAGCCAUUGUUAAGAAGGAGG